AAGACCCUCUUCUUAGCUGCCUGGACGCCAGUCUUCCACUAUCAGCCUUCAGAUGACGUUGUAGAACUCUCAGCUCCUCCUGCACCAUGCCUGCCUGGAUGCUGCCAUGUUCCUGCCUUGAUGAUUAUGCACUGAGCCUCUGAACCUACUAGAAUUCAUUCCUCUCUGGAGUCCUGUACCAGCAAAUUGCAAGGUCGAGAUGAACCAGCUGUGCAAACACUCCCCCUAGUGAUGAACGGCAGACUUCCAAAACCCGAGGUUUAUCGCUCGCCGUCCCGUUCAUUUCUUUAACAUCGGGCGUGCGCACACAUGCCUUCAGAGAAGCUGGGAGAAGGAAGGAGGAAAGGAGAAGGAGUUGAAAGGAGAAGGGAAGUUUGGAUGAAGAGGAUGUCGAUUGGCUUGGAGAAUGGUGGGGUCCAGAGCGCUACUUGCUCCGCCACGAGGUUCUGUCCACUCGCCCUGCUGGAGUCCCCAAGAGGUGAUGCUAUGGAUGCGCUCAUGAGGAUGGGGAGAAUCAUCUCAUUAGCCCUGCCAGGAGAGUCCAGACUGUUUGAAAGUCAGCUGAUUCACACUGGCCGUGCGAUUUACAACUUUAACUUCUCUUUGCCUGGAGCAGUUCCGGGGACCUAGGCAUGAUCAUGCCAAGGGCAUCCUACCAAAAUAUAUAAGAAGAUUCACAAA
rnacentral:lncRNA from 1 species